rnacentral:rRNA from 1 species
UACGUAGGGCGCAAGCGUUGUCCGGAAUUAUUGGGCGUAAAGAGCUCGUAGGCGGUUUGUUGCGUCGGCUGUGAAAUCCCGAGGCUCAACCUCGGGUCUGCAGUCGAUACGAGCAAACUAGAGUGUUGCAGGGGAGACUGGAAUUCCUGGUGUAGCGGUGAAAUGCGCAGAUAUCAGGAGGAACACCAAUGGCGAAGGCAGAUCUCUGGGCCGUAACUGACGCUGAGGAGCGA